UGUGGGAGCUGGCUUGCCUGCGAUAGCGGUGUAUCAGCCACCCGAUGCAUCAACUGGCAGACUGCUAUCGCAGGCAAGCCAGCUCCCACA
rnacentral:misc_RNA from 1 species